rnacentral:lncRNA from 1 species
AUAUAUAUAUAUAUAUAUAUUCAUUUAUUAUAUAUAUUAUUUUAUUUUUAUUUUUAUAUAGAAAUAUUUAUAUGAUAUUUUAUUUAUAAAUUUGUAAUUAGUUAUUAAUAUUUUUAAAUAUAUAAAUCUUAUAUAUUAUUAAUAUAUGUUUAUUAUUAAUAUAUGAAUAUAUUUAAUUUAUAUAUGAAAAUUAUAAUAAUAAUAUAUAUAGUAUAUUAAUUAUUAUAUAUUUAAUAUAUAGCCGAAUUUUUGAUCCCGAAUUUUUAAUUGGUGAACGUAUAAGAUCCGUAUAAAACACGUAUCCGAAUAAUUACCGAAUCCGUUUUUUAGCCGUAUUUUUUAACGAAUUUAAAAAUUAAAAGACGAAUUUUAUCCGAAUUAUACCCGUACCGAAUUUUUGCCGAAUCCGAAUUAACUAACUAUGGUCUAAAUGCAUUUAUGCAUCAAAUGGGUUAUGUAAAAGGGGCAAAUGAGAUAUUUCUCUCAUUCUCUCCCUCUCACACCCUCUCAUAUCUCUCUCUCUAGGAGGAGAAAAAGAAGGAGAAAAAGGAGGAGAAGUUAGAGGAGAAGGAGGCUAAAGGAGGAUCAUCAUCUUCCUCUUCCUCCUAGGUUCAAGAAAAGGCAAGCUUUGAGGUAAGCUUUGCCCCCUCUCAUGGUAGAACCCUAAGUAGGGUUUAGAAUGACCUAAGAAUGGUUUUGUUGGGAUCCUUGGAUGGUAACAAGCUUGUUUUUGCUUGUGGUAGAGAUCAAACCAAGAGUUUUGUAUAUAUGUGAAAGCUAGGGCACCCAAAUUGGGGCUAUUGCACUGGAGGGAUUUAGAUCAAAAUUGAUCGUACAGAAACCUAAUUGGGAGUGUUUCCGAUGCGUUGAUGCGCUCGGAUUGACGUUAUGAAAGGUCUAUGCGGAGUUAUGAGCGAAAAAGCCUAAUUUGGCUUCGUUUGCUGCAUGCAAGAAAAUAGGCGGCCAAAAAUCGUGAAAUUUGAACCCGAGCACCUUAGCAAGCCUACGAGGUGGGUGGUGCUUUCCAAACUCUUUGCAAUUCCUUCUAUGUCUAUAUGUCACUUAUUGAGCAUGUAUGUUUAUAGCUUUUCAUGCAUAAUAGGGUGAAAUGAGAGUAUAUGUUGCAUGCUUAUAGUUAAGAUGCAUUCGAUAUGGUUGAGAACCAAUAAGAAUUGUAUAACCCUAUAUGUGCAUGUAUGAUAACAAGAACUUAGCAAAGUUAUAGAACAAGUGCCAUUUUGACAUAGAGGACAAUGGGACAUUGUGAUAUUGAGUACUAGAGUUAUACACCUAGUAAAGUAGUUUGGCAAAGAACAAUAAAUGCUAGAGUUAGCAUCAAGUGUGGCAAAGAACAAUAAAUGCUAGAGUUAGCAUCAAGUGUGGCAUAAAGAACACUAGAGUUAGUAUAAUCGCAUGAUCGAAAACAAAAAAGGCAAAGAACAUGAGAUUGAGACAUAAUGAUAUAUAACCUUAUAGUUAAGGGUCAUUGGUGCAUGGUUUCCUUAUAGUUAAGGUAUAGAUUGAACUUGAUAUCCUUUAAGUUAAGGAUUGGAUCAUACUCGCCUUAGUCCUUGCUCGGUGGGCGGUAGCUCCUCCACGAGCGAUGUGCUCCGGAGUUUGACAUCACUGGGUCGUAGUAGUUUCUCUCCAGAGGACGGUCCCGUCGGGUCGUAGGAGUUUCUCCCCGACAUUGGGAUUUCGAGUGGUGAGUUGUUUUGAGGCGAAACCCCCGGGUUAGCCGUGAGAUUGAGAUUGUGACUUGAACAAGAACCAUGCUUUCAUCAUGAGUAUUAUUGUUGAGCAUCUUUAUUGAUCGCAUUUGUUCAGGCAUAUUAGUUGCAUAUUAUAGUUGGUUAGUUAUCUAUUUGCUUCUUUCUAUUAUGCCUGAGAUAGACCUAGUGGAAAAGUCGGUGAGAUUGGGGCCGAACCCACUGGAAACUUUGUUGUACUUCUCACCCCACUAUUUCCACAGAGCCGGGACAGAGCGAGCCCGUCACCGACCGCGGUAAAGGUAUCGCGUCGUAGAUAGAGACUACCCGAGUCAGAUUUCAUAUUUUGCUAGUUGCAUUCCCUUAUAUCAUCUUUUGUAUUCGAUGAUUCGAAAUGUUAAAGAAAAGAAUGUAAACCUUCUAUUUUGAGGCAAUGUGAUGUAAAAAGAUAUGAUGAAAAGCAAUGUAAAGGCAAAUGUGUAUGUGGUAAAGAAUCAUGAAUGUAAAGGUUGAAUGCUUGUAAAUGGUUAAAAGUAAAUCAUUUUACUUGUAUGUUGUAUAGAUUAGUAUUCUUUCACUUGGCUAUUGCUUACCCUCGUGUAAGCCAUUAUGUAUGUUUCCGCUUGUGCAUUCUCUUUACUUGAAUUGUACAUGUAUUGAGCUUUGGGCGGACAGGGGAGGCUCUGUCCGUUCGGCGUCUGUUCGACGUGCCCGGACCGGCCAAAGGGAUCGGUCCCGGGGCGUGACAUCAUAAGUUAUCCAGCAGUAGACUUACAGGAGGAUUUAAACUAUGAUCAAUAUCCAGUUAGCAUCCUCGGUUGAUAAGAAAAGUCAUUGUGGGAUUACUCAAUUCCAAGUCAAGUGCUAUGGAGCAACCUUGAGGAGCGAGAAACUACUUGGGAGCUCGAGAUCACUAUGUAAGAGCAGUUUUCUUAUUUAUUCAGGCAAUCACUAAUGGUGAAAUUUUCUCAUUUAUUCGGGCAACUGAUUUGAGGUAUGGAAUUUCAAGUUUCGCACACGAAACUUCUUAUUAGGAGGGAAGGAUGUAAUGCACUAAACUUUUGCAAGUUGUGAAGUUCUAGUGAGAAAUAGUGACUGGAAAUUAUUUCAAAAACCUCAAGGGUGCUUGUGGGAGGAUUUAAGCUACAAUGAAUAUCCAGUUAACAUUCUCAAUUGGCAAGAAAAGGCAUUAUAGAAUCACUCGAUUUUAUAUAUCAAAGUGUUAUUAACCAUGAGAAGCGAAAAGCUACUUGGGAGCUCGAGAGCACUAUACAACAAUUUUCUCAUUUAUUCGGGCAAUCGAUUUGAGGUAUGGAAUUGUUAGCUGACGAAAACCCUUAUUUGGAAGGCAGGAUGUAAUGCAUUGAAUGUUUGCAAGUUCGUGUGUGAGAGUCAAUUAAUUAUUUUCAACGUGAAAACAUAAUUUAAAUAGCUAAAUCUGAACACACACACACACACACACACACACACACACACACACACACACACACUAUAGAUUUACAGUGGGUAUAAGUACUAGAUUGGGGUAUCGACCAAUACUUAGUUGCAUGGAGGCUAAGGAAGCCAUCAGAUUUUGCCGAACUCACCCACAUAUCUGUACUACUAUUACGAGUACCAAUGCUGAUGUUGUGGGCACUGGUACACAAUAAAAACUAAAGGAAAACAAUAUUCAAGUUCUGCGAAAACGUCCUAGAGUACUGGUACACUUAAGCCAUGUAUCGAUCUUGGAAUUUGAGUACUAGUACAUAAUAUUGCAAACAAUAGAUUUUGGGGUGUUGUAAGUAUGAUUAGUUAGAGAUUUUAAGCAUAAUUAGUACACAUCAAUAUAACCCAUUUCAAUAGCUAAAACCCUAGUUUUCUAUUUCUCCUCUACCCUUCCUCUCCAUAUCCUCUUUCUCUCUCUAGAAUCGAAGAGGAAUUCGCGAAGCCCUAGAUCUCAUUGUUGAAGCUUAGAAUUAAUCUCGUUGAAUUUGGAAAUGGUGAAGAGCUUCAACAGAAGCUCUACGAAGAAGAAUAAGCUUUUCUCUUCCACAUUUUGAGUGCUAUAGGAGGAGGGAUAUGUUGGUAUUUUAAGGUUUUGGUUCUAGAGUUUUUCAAAAUGAAUGUUUUUGGGAUUUUAACCUUGUUAGAGCUAUUUUUUAGAAUUUCUUGGUGAUUUCAAGAAAUCAAGACAAUCACCUUGUGCAAGAUCUAGCAAAGGAGGAGAAUAUUAUCGAAAAUCAUUUGAUAUCCUCUUUGUCUAAAGAUUUCUUUGAUUUUAUGCAUGUUUAAUAUGUUAUUGCAAACUAAAGGUAUCGUAGUGGCAUGCUAAUGAAACUUGUAGUUCAAGAUGGCUUGUGAGCAUUUAGAAAAAUAGGGUUUUAACUCUUGUGUGAAUAAAGAAAAAUGGAUAAAGGACAUGUAAAUGACGAUCUUGAGAUAUAGAUAUAUAAAACAAGUGUGGUAUCUAACUUAGAUCAAAACAUAAUGUUGGAAAUAGUGAUAUGUGAACUCUAAGCUAAAUGUGAACUGGAGAACAAAUGUGAGUGUAAUGGAUAAUGUGGUUAACCUUAGAAGUUAUGAACUUAAGAUAAAAUAGCAAAACAGGUGCGACCCUCUAGAAGUGUCAAGAAAAGGGACGAGCUCGAGAGAUAUCGACUUCCAAUGAGAUACUUGGAGAGCACGACAGGAAUCGACCUCAUUUACCUACCGAUUGGGGAAGAGUGCAAGAGAAAUUGACUCUCCAUAGGGUGGAAGUAAGUGAAACCAAACAAAUAAGUUAGUUAAAAUUAUGAGAUGAGUUGUAGUGCAUAGUAAAAACUAAUCAAAUAGAUAGUUAAGGACAUGUGGCAAAUUGGGUAAAUAUAGAAACAUUGACUUAGUGGCAUCUUAUAUACAUUAAGGCAUUGAAGUUGUAACUAAAUUUAUUGCAUUUCCUUAGUAGAAAUAUCUGUUUCUUUCAUUAGUUAUCUAUCCUUUGAACUGAGUGAGUGUAGAGCCCUAUUUUAGGCGGUUGCACCUACUGGGAACUAACUAUAGUUCUUACCUCUUUACUGUUUACCCUUUUUUAGAGCCUACGAUCUCCGGGGAGGCGUGUGACCAUGCCAAAGGUGUCGCAGAGUGGAUAGACUAAGUGAGAGGUCUAAAAAGAACAAAUUUGUAAAAUAAUAUUUUGUAAUUGAAUGAUGUAAACUUUAUGUUUAAAGUCUAAGUUGAAAUGAUUUAGAUGUUAGCAGUAUAACUCUGAUGCUUCAUAUAUUCAUUUCAUGCAUAUUUUGUACACAUUGGUAUAUCUUUCUACUUCGUGUGGGUAGGAAAAACUCUGUCCGUUCGGCAUGUCUAUUGCACAUGCCCAAGCGAGCCUAAUUGGCGGUCUCCGGCCGUGACAUUUUUAUAUUCUUUUGCGUUGUUUUCUGUAAGACCCUGGGUAGUCCUAUAUAUGAGAUAUAAUAUGACUAAAUUUUUUAACCUGGCUAUAGCAUUUUGUGAGGUGGCUAGGCCCAAGAGGUUAAGAGAGUUAAGCGUGUUAGGGCUAGAGUAGUCCUCAGAAGGGUGACUCUCUAGGAAGUAGGGCGUCAUAGUUAGUAUCAAAGUCAAUUAUUAGCCGGAAGUGUGAGAUGAUGCUCGGCUGACCCAGAUAAUAUAACGAGCAAAACGAGCCUCUUUGGCUGAUGACUGUUGUGGAUCGAUCGAGCACGGCUCCCCCACAAGGUCGGUUAAAGCUAGUGAAACGAGUCUCACAUCGCUUGGUACUUGUGAGUCUGAACCUGAUGAGGAUGUCAGGGCUUAAAGUUGGAAAAAAUGUGAGACCCCCCCAGGUAGUCCUAUAUAUAAGAUAUAAUAGGACUAAAUCUGUUAACCAGGUUAUAGCAUUUUGGACAGCGACUGGACCCAAAAAGUUAAGAAAGUUAAGUGUGCUAGGAUUAAAGUAGUCUUAGGAUGAGUGACCCUCUGGAAGUUGGGCGUCACAUUUUCGCACCAAGAUAGUUCUAACUCAACUCAAACUCUGCCAACACCUCUCAAAUGGUACCAUAAGCCAUUUUACAGUGGACCUUAGCAAUUUACAAAGUGCAGCAUACUACAGUGACACUAGUGCUUUAGUUUCCAGACAUUAAUUAGUUACAAUUUCUGACAGUAUAAGGUAUGUGACAUUUUAGUACUUAAACUUUCUAAAUUGCUGCAAUAUCCUACUUGAUAAUGCAAUAAUAAUUUUGAUGGUACAUCACUUUGAUAUAAGAUGCAGAAAAAUCAAAAUCCAUUGAAUUUUUAAUAGAAAAUUUUAUUCACUAUAUAAAUUAAGAUAAAUAAUUUCUUUCUUAAAUUUAAAAAUUCUAUCCCAGCCCUAUUUUUAAGAAUUGAUCGAUUUUCACCUUUUAUUUUAUAUCAACUUGAUAACUUUAUUAUAAAUUUAAAAUAUUACGGAAUUCAAUUUUUAAAUACUUUAAAUACUCUAGAACAUACUUAAUAAUACGGAUCGUCGAUUCAGAAUCUCAAUCAUCAAAAACGACUUAUAUAUGAGUGCAUAGAUCUUUAUACUUAUAAAAGGACAGUACCUCACUCUCUCUCUCUCAAAAUGUACACACUGCACUUAAUAUUAAAUGAUUAAUUAUUUCAAAAUUAAAAUCUAACUUAAUAAAUAUAGUUUAUAUUAUUUUUUAUAAAAAAGGCUAUUAUUUAAAAAAUUAUAUAUUUUAAGAAUCAAUUAUCUAGACAUCAAGUACUCGCAAAAAUUAAUUGAAUCGUAAAAAUUGUUAUUUCAGUUGUAAGAACUGUUCCAACAGAAUUUAUUAUCUUUGUCACUAGCCAUUUUUAAAUAUCAUAAAAUCCAGUGUGUUAAAUUUUAAUUUAAAAGCUCAAUCAUAAGGUUUUAAUAAAGAGAGCGAGUGUAUCUAAUAUGUACUUAUACACAGGGUGCAGGCAAUAACUUCAAAUAAUUAUAUAUCCAAUACAUAGAGUUGCUGUGGCUUCAUGUUCAUGUCCUAUGCAUUCGUACCCAUUCUGAAUACCUUAGACAUAAAAAAGCAAUCUGCAUGACAAAGGACAACGUCGCACAGUGUCGACCAUAAAGUUGAGGUACGUGUGUGUGUGUAUAUAUAUAUAUAUAUAUAUAUAUAUAUAUAUAUAUUAUAGAGAGAGAGAAGAGAGAGAGAGAGAGAGAGAGAGGCUAGAGCUACUAUCUUAUUAAUAGGAUAGGAGCACUUGUCCUAUCAAAUUGUUCUUGAUGAUCGAGAUUACGAAUCGAUGAUCGAGCGUUGAAGUUGAUCUAGAGUAUUUAAAAUAUCUAGAAACUAAAUUUUAUAAAUUUUAAAAUUUAUUUACAUGAUGAUCAAAUGUCGUAAAAUCGACAAUUUUUGACGGCCUAUAUGAGCUGUUUGCUUGUUUAAUGGUCUAGAGCAAUCCAAACUGCUUGAAUUUUUAUAGAAAUUUUUAUACUAUUUAGAUAAAUAUUUGAUAAAUCUGAUUAUGAAUUGAGAACGUCUAACCUCUAUUUAAGAAGGUUAUACAUUUAUGACCGUUCAUUUUUUAACUCUUAAGAUGAACUUGAUAAUGAUUUUUAAAUAUUACAAAAUUUAGUUUCUAAACAUUCUAAUUGUGUAGAUCAAUUUCAAGCGUGCCGAUUAUCAAUUUGAAGUUCCGAUCAAUCAAAACGACUUGAUAGGACAAUAGCUCCAAUCCUAUUAAUAGGAUAGUAGCCGACUCUAUAUAUAUAUAUAGAGUGGGCUGGUAUGCUUAUGAAACACGGAGCCCUCCGUGCUUCCAAGUUGUUUUCGACGUUCGGACUUUCGAAUUAUGAUCGCUCCGUUAGCGUUGAUCUAGAGUAUUUGAAGUACCUAGAAAAUAAAUUUUGUGAUUUUUCGAUAUCAUUUGCCUAGUGAUCGAAGGGGCUCUAAAAUCAAUAAUUUAAUGGUCGUGGUAGCCGGUUGCAAGUUUAACGGUGUAGAAAUAUCCAAAUCACGUGAAAUUUUGAUAGAAAAUUCUUUAUACCAUAUAAAACAAGAUCAAUAACUUUGAUCUAAAAUUUUAAUGUCAUAUCAUCAAAGUUUGUAAGAUUUUUAUUUUCAGCCGUUGAUUUGGGCCACUUCGAUCACUAGGCAAAUGAUAUCAAAAAAUCACAAAAUUUAUUUUCUAGAUACUUCAAAUACUCUAGAUCAAGUCUAACGAAGCCGAUCGUCGAUUCGAAAGUCCGAACAUCGAAAACAAAGUGGAAGCACGGAGCCCUCCGUGCUUCCAUAAGCAUCCUAGCCGCACUCUAUAUAGAUAUAUAGAAUUGAGCUAGAAUAUUUUUACAAAUAUUACCCCCUUGGUGCUUUUAGGUUUUAGCCCUUGUAUCUACUCCUUGAUUACUAAUAGCUUUUGGAUCAAACACUAUUCCAACUAUCACCACCUACCACCACCCACCACCAUCAUCCCAACCUUAUAUUUCUCCAUCUAAGGGUUAAAAACUCACAAGCACCAAUCUUUUGGUGCUUUUGAGAGUAUUCUAGCUCAACUAUAUAUAUAUAUAUAUAUAUAUAUAUAUAUAAUUGACCUCGUAUGCUUUUAAAAAUAUCAAGUUAUUGGUGCUUGUAAAUUUUUGACCAUUGGAUUAAAGGAUGUGCGGUUAGGAUGAUGUGAGCCCCCUAAGGUUGAUUGGGUGGUUGGUUGAAUAGUAUAAUCUAACAGUUGAAAAUGAUCAAAGGUAUAGAUCUAACGGUAAAAAAUUUACAAACACCAAGUGCUUGGUACUUUUAUAAGCACCAUAGCCGGACUAUAUAUAUAUAAUUAGACUGGAAUACUAUCAAUAGCACCAAGCUAUUGGUGCUAUUAAUUUUUUAGCCCUUAAAUUGAGAAAUAUGUGGUUAGAAUGAUGUGGACCCCCUAGGGUUGAGUGGGUGGUUGGUUUAAUAAUAUAAUCUAACGGGUAAAAAUAAGCAAAGUGUUAAAUCUAACGGUGGAAAACUCGAUAGCACCAAAUUCUCGGUGCUAUUAAUAGUAUCCCAGCCGGACUCUAUAUAUAUAUAUAUAUAUAUAUAUAAUCCUAAAGGGCAAAAAGGUUUUACACUCUAAUUCUGAAGUUGACCAAAAUCCAAAAUGAUUAUAGUUUUAAAAAACAAAUUAAUGGAACAAGUACAAAAUGAUGACCCUUCAAUGAAGAAGGUGUAAAAUAUGCAUUUUAUUUUGUAGUGUUCCAAUAGUAUUGGUCAUAAAUGUAUAUAUGAGAAAUGCUACUUAUACACAUCACUUUUAGAAGUAUAUCUUGCAUCCUCUUUAUCCAAGGAUUAUCUUUUUCUAUUUGUCACACCAUGAUGAUUCCUAUUGGCACGGUAUGGUACAAUGCAUGUCAGACUUACCGAUGUGUGCUGAUCAUAAAAAAUUCAUAUGUACCGAUACAUAAUAGUAUGCAAUAUUUAUUUUUUUUACCAACAAAAUAUUCUAACAGUUUAUUAUGUACGUACUUUUUGUUAAAUCUUUUGAAUUUUAUUUACUUACUAAUUAAAAGAAUUGAGAGCUUUAAAAUGUGCUAUUGACACAGGGUUGUAUCGUGCCGAUAUCUUAUUGGUACGAUACGACACGAUAUAUACGGCGCGUACCGAUGGACACUUAAAUUCAUGGCUCAUAUAUAUGUAAAUGAGAAAUGCUACUCAUACACAUCACUUUUAGAUGUACAUCUUGCAUCCUCUUCAUGUGGGGAGAGACGGUUGCCGGUGCCGCGGCCGCUGCUAUGGCGAUUCCUGGGGGGCGAAGCUCCGACGUCGCGGCAUCACUGGAGGUGCCACAGCCGCAGCCGCGGCCGUUUCUACGCAGCAGCAGCCUCUGCCGUCUCCUCCCACCUCUCCUUCUCCUGCUCUUCCCGCUCCUUCCUGCUCUUUCCGUAGCAGCAGCCUCUGCCACCUCCUCUCAGCCUUUCUUUUUUUUUUUUCAGCGUCGCGCCGGAGCCGCCCCAGCCUUCGCUCCUUCCAUCCCCCACACGUCCCCUACCAUUCCUACGCGGCCUGUUUUAGCUUCAUCCGGCGGAGGUGGAGGCGGAGGCGGAGGUGGCGGGAGACCCUUCUCUUUCUUUUUUUCUUGCUCUCUUUUUUUUUUCCUUUCUCUUUUUCCAUAUUCUUAUAAAACCAGUCAAAUAACUUUUUCGCCUGGCUUAAACGUUUUUGCUUUUUCCACCGGGCGAAAAUGUUAUUAUUAUUAUUAUUAUUAUUAUUAUUAUUAUAACUACACUAUUUAUUCUCUAAUAUUGAGAACCNNNNNNNNNNNNNNNNNNNNNNNNNNNNNNNNNNNNNNNNNNNNNNNNNNNNNNNNNNNNNNNNNNNNNNNNNNNNNNNNNNNNNNNNNNNNNNNNNNNNNNNNNNNNNNNNNNNNNNNNNNNNNNNNNNNNNNNNNNNNNNNNNNNNNNNNNNNNNNNNNNNNNNNNNNNNNNNNNNNNNNNNNNNNNNNNNNNNNNNNNNNNNNNNNNNNNNNNNNNNNNNNNNNNNNNNNNNNNNNNNNNNNNNNNNNNNNNNNNNNNNNNNNNNNNNNNNNNNNNNNNNNNNNNNNNNNNNNNNNNNNNNNNNNNNNNNNNNNNNNNNNNNNNNNNNNNNNNNNNNNNNNNNNNNNNNNNNNNNNNNNNNNNNNNNNNNNNNNNNNNNNNNNNNNNNNNNNNNNNNNNNNNNNNNNNNNNNNNNNNNNNNNNNNNNNNNNNNNNNNNNNNNNNNNNNNNNNNNNNNNNNNNNNNNNNNNNNNNNNNNNNNNNNNNNNNNNNNNNNNNNNNNNNNNNNNNNNNNNNNNNNNNNNNNNNNNNNNNNNNNNNNNNNNNNNNNNNNNNNNNNNNNNNUCCGACUCUCCUCCACCGUCUCCGACGACGAUGCCUUUCUCGUCCUUCCUCGCCCUUCUCGUCCUCUUCCUCUCCACCCUCCUCUGCCGUCUCCGACGACGACGCAUCUUUGCCGGCGCCGACGCCGACACCGUGGAGGUCACUACGGCGCUGCAGCCUCGGAGCGGGGGGUCCUUAGCGGCAUCGUCGCCGGCGCCGUGGCCGUUGGCAGAGAGGGGUGACAAAAAAAAAUUAUUAAAGAAACAAGAAAAAAAAUAAAGAUAAAAAUUUAUAAAAAAAAAAUAUGAAGAUGAAAUUGUAUCGUUAACUAUAAAAAAAAAUUAAAAGUUGUAUUAUUUAAGAUGUAAACUGCAGCUUUAAGAUGAAAAUUACACUCUUUAAACGAAAAUUACACUAUUUGGGAGAUAUUUAUACUGUUUCUCUUCUUAUUGCACACUUUCAGAUGUAAACUGUAUCCAUUAAGAUGAAAGUUACACUCUUUAAACGAAAGUUGCACUCUCUUUGAGAGAUAUUUACAUUGUUUCUCCUAUUCUUGCAUUCUUUGAGAUGUAAAUUGCACCCCUUCAAGAGAUAUUUAUACUGUUUCUCCUCUUGUUGCACUAUUUCUCCUCUUGUUAUACUAUUUUUUAUCUUAAACUGCACCCUUUAAGAGAAGAAACAGUGUAAUAAGAGGAGAAAUAGUGCAACAAGAGAAAAAAUAAUACAACAAGAGAAGAAACAAUAUAAAUAUCUCUUGAAGGGGUGCAGUUUACAUCUCAAAAAGUGCAAGAAUAGGAGAAACAGUGUAAAUAUCUCUCAAAGAGUGCAACUUUCAUUUAAAGAGUUUAACUUUCAUCUUAAUGGAUGUAGUUUACAUCUAAAAGAGUGCAAUAAGAGGAGAAACAGUAUAAAUAUCUCCCAAAGAAUAUAAUUUUCGUUUAAAAAGUGUAAUUUUCAUCUUAAAACUGCAGUUUACAUCUUAAGCAGUGCAACUUAUAAUUUUUUUUAUAGUUAAAGAUGCAAUUUCAUUUUUAUCCUUUUUUUCUAUAAUUUUUUAUCUUUAUUUUUUUUCUUGUUUCUUUUAUAAUUUUUUUGGUCACCAGUCUUUGCCAACAGCCAUGGCGCCGGCGACGAUGCCGCUAAGGACCCCCCGCUCCAAGGCUGCAGUGCCGCAGCAACCUCCACGGUGUAGGCAUCGACGAAGAUGCGUUGUCGUCGGAGGCGACAGAGGAGGAGGGAGAUGGAGAGGACGAGAAGGGCGGGGAAGGGCGAGAGAGGCGUCGUCGUUGGAGAUGGUGGAGGAGAAUCGGAGAGGGAAAAAAAAAAAAAAAAAGAGUUGCAGCACGGUCUCGGUGGGUUCGGAGGCGAGGAAGGUGGGGGGUGCGUGGGCGAGGGCAAGGGCGAGGGCGAGAGCGUGAGGGUGAGAGGCGAGGUGGACCAUUUCCGCCUCCGCCUCUGCCUCCGCUACUUUUUUCGGCGAGAGAAAAAAAAAAGACGAGAGAAACGAAGAGGAGAGAGAAAAAGGAGAGAGAAAAAGUAAUAAUGGUAUUUUGGUCAGUUUGCUGAAAAUUCGGAUCGAAUCUGCAAAAUAAAAAAAGGUGGCCCAGUUUUGCAAAAGCCCAAAAUUAGUGGAUUUUUUAUGCAAAUUGGCCUUUUAUGAAUUUAGGAUGGGAAAUGUAAAAUUUAUAAUCCCUUUUGGCGUAUGUGUGUGUGUGUAUAUAUAUAUAGAGAGAGAGAGAGAGAAAGAGAGAGUAGGUCUUGUGUGUUAUUAGGAGCACGGAGGCCUCCGUGUUCUAAGCUAUUUUCGAUGAUGGGACUUCCAAAUCAACGAUCGACUUCUCUAGACUUUAUCUAGCGUAUUUGAACUUAGGUACGGUGUCUAACGACACUUUUAAAUGUCGGUACAAGUCAAAAAAAGUGCUACUAGUUAAAUUACAGACACUUUUUAAAAGUGUUGUUAUAUGCGGGGUUGCUAUAAGUAGGGCCGCCUUAAUAUUUGGUACACACUCCUCCAGCGACCUAUGGCGGGGGAUAUGUGGCGAUCGUAGCCCUCUACGGCCGACCGAAUUCCAGCCGUCGGAAUCUUAUCUCGUCGGCUACGGCGGCAUAGCAGGAGAAGGGGAGAUGGUGUUCAAUUUUUUUUUCCUGGUUAUUUGUAAUCGAGCCGAGUGGGCUGGGUGUGGUUGGUUGAGUACAGAAACAUUUUGUUUUUGAUUGUAUUGGACUCUAUAUUUAGGCAUUAUUAAAUUUUUUAAAAAAAUUUUGGUAUAAAUGGGACACUUAUAUAAAAGUGUCCAAAAAAUGUAUCCUUAUAAUCUAAUUCUGUUGUAAUGUAAUAGACCCAAAGGGGCUAUGGCCCUCUCAACUUUUCAAUAUUUGCUUUGCAGUCCUUUGGUAGGUUAUAAAUUUUUAGUUAAUUUAAAAUAUAUGGGGCUUUAUUAUAAAAAGUUUUUAAUGUUAGUAUAGAGCUCUCUUUUUCCUUAUGUGUUUUAUAGGUGAAAAUACGCUAAAAACCUCUUAAUUAUAGUGCAUUUUAGAAUAAGUUCUUUCAACUUUAAAUAUUUUAUUUAUACAUUCUUAACUUUCUAAUUAUUUUUUAUGAGUUAAUUUAUUUAACUAAAUAAAAUAACUUGCUAAAUUUAAUAGUUCUAGUAGAUAUUAGUCAUGAAUUGUUAUUAUUUUAUUAACAAAAAUUAAAAAAAUUAAUUCGAACUAAAUUACUAUUAGAUUUAGAAAAAUUCUUAAGUUAUUUGAUUAAAAUAAGAUAAAUAUAAUAAUUAGAAGUUAAGAAAGUGUAAAUAACGAAAUAAAUUUAAUAUUUUUUAACAUUAAUUAUCUAAUCACUAAAUUUUUUUAUUAAAAAUUUUAGUUAAACUUUUAUUUAUUUGUUAAAAUUUUUCUUUGUACAUAUUUUGGCCCCCGUCGUUAUUGAAUCCUGGCUUCGUCCCUAUUUGAACUAUCUAGAAAAUAAAUUUUGUGAUUUUUCAAAAUUAUUUACCUAGUGAUCGAAAUGACACAAAAUCAACGGUUGAAAAUAAAAGCCUCACAAAAAGUUAUAAUGUAACACUAAAAUUUUCAAUAAGAGAUAUUAAUCUUGUUGUAUAUGGUAUAAAGAAUUUUCUAUCAAUUUCAUCUGAUUUGAAUACUACUACACCAUUAAACUUCCAAACACUAUACAUCAACCAUUAAAAAUUAUUUAGUUUAAACCCUUUCGAUCACUAGGUAAAUGAUAUCAAAAAAUUGCAAAAUUUAUUUUCUAAAUACUUCAAAUACGCUAUAUCAAGUCUAACGGAGGUGAUUGUCGGUUCAAAAAUUUCAUCAUCGAAAACGGCUUAAUUAGGAGCACGGAGGUCUCCGUUCUCCUAACAGCACACAAGAUACUAAUAUCAUCCUAACUCUACAAUUUCUCAUCCAAGAGUUAAAAAUUUGAUAGUAAAAAAUCAAAUACUAUCAAUAGUAUUUCAGCCCAACUCUGUAUGUGUAUAGAAAGAGAGAGAGAGAGAGAGAAAGAGAGAGUACAUUUCAUAUGCUUUCGAAAGUACGGAGGUAUUCAUACUUGUAAGUUAUUUUCGAUGAUGAGACAUUAGAUUUGACGAUCGGCUCCGUUAGAUAUGAUCUACGCUAUUAGAAUUAUUUAAAAAUAAAAAUUUAUAAUUUUUGACAUCAUUUACUAAGUGAUCAAAGGGUAUCAAAAAUAACUAUUUUUAAUGACUGAUGUGGGCACGUUUAGAUGUUAAUUUUAUGCAUGCAUGAUAAACUUUAGGGUGCGUUUGGUUCGCAUUAUGAAAGAUUACUAGGAAUAAAAGAUAUCCGAGAAUCUUAUUCCUAUCCAUCCUAUUACUAAGAAUGUGAAAUUUCUGUAUUUGGUUCGCACGGUAAUAUUAAUUAGCCAUGUUAUUUAAUAUUAUAAAAAAUAUACAAUUUAUUUAUUUAUUUAUUUAUUUAUUUAAUUUUAGAUAAUGUUACCAAAAGUUUCAACAUCUAUUUAGAAAAAAGGAAGAGAGAAGGUAUAAGUUAGAGAGAUAGAGCAUAAUUAAACAAAUAGAAAGAAAAAUAUAGUCGAAAUUAGAGGGAGUGAGAGAGUUGAAAUUUUAGAAAGAGAGAGAGAGAGAGAGAGAGAGAGAGAGAGAGAAAGCUUAGUUUAGAGAGAGAAAAAAAAGUUGAAUUUUAGAGAGAAAAAUAAGUUUAGAGAGAGAUAUAAGGUUAGAGUGUAAAGAAAAAUAAUAUCAAUUAGCCGACGGGUAGGAACAAAGAAAGAGAUUAGACAUAUUAUGAUUACCCCAAUCCAUUAAUAUAAGAAUACCCACCCUCCCUCAAGAGAAUGAGAUUAGUAUUUUGGGGUGAAUCUUAUUCCCAAGUGAAUCCAAUAUUACCAACUAGAUUACUUAGUGCGUUUAGCCAAACACCGUCAUAUUUUUUUAUUCCCAUUGGAUUACUAGGAAUCUUUAAAAGAUAGUGCGAACCAAACACACCCUUAAUAUAAAUUUAAAGGAUUACGAUCUUUGGUUUCUUGAUACUCCAAUUUCUCUAUAUCAUAUCUGAUAGCUCGCAAAUGGCUGGAGAAAAAAAUAUUACUUUUGAAAAGUUGACCUUAAAAGUGAUUUUUGAAUUAAAUUGCUAGUUUGACUAUAAAUAGAAAAUAGAAAAUUGCACUUAAAUUUGAAUUCAAAUUCAUAUAUUGAAUAAAAUUUAAAUUAGCAGUUGACCUGAAAUUUUGAAUUCAAAUAUGAAUUCAUAAUUUGAAUUGAAAUUCAAUUUUGAAUUCACAUUUCAAAAUGAAUGAUUGAACUCAUUAUUCAAAUUUAAAUUCCUAAUGUAAACUUUAAAUGGAGAUUAAAUUCAUAUUCAAAACAACAUAAAAAUUUAAAUUCUAAUUCUAAUUUGAAUUCAUAGCUUGGAUGUAGAGUAAAAUUCAAAAUUUGAUUAAAAUUUUUUAAUUAAAAUUUCACUGCUCAAUUUAAUCUUAAAUUUUAAAUUUCAAAAUAAAUGUAAUUUUAAAUUUAAAUUUAUAAUAUAUAUACAGAGAGAGAGAGAGACAGAGAGAGAGAGCUAGGCUCCUACACUUUCGAAAGUACAGAGGCCUCUGUCUUUGUAAAUUAAUUGUUUUCGAUAAUGGGGUAGCCGAUUCGGCGAUCGGCUUAAUUAGACAUGAUCUACACUAUUGGAAUUAUUUAGAAACUAAAUUUUAUAAUUUUUUGACUUUAUUUGCCUUGUGAACGAAGAGACUCAAAAUGGACGGAUGAAAAUAAAAAUCUCACAAAAACUAGUGAUAAAAGACUCAAAUUUAAAAUCGGAAGUAUUGUUUUUUCUCUUGAUAUUAAGUAGAAUUUUCUAUUAAAGUUUCAUAUAAUUUGGAUUCUUCUACACCGUUGAACUGUCAAAUGUGCCACAUCAGCCGUUAAAAUAGUCAUUUUUUAGACUCUUUGAUCACUUGGUAAAUGAUGUCAAAAAAUUAUGAAAAUUUGGUUUCUAAAUAGUUAUAAUAUCGUAGAUCAUGUUUCAAAUGCUCUAUUAUCAAAAAUAACUUACAACCAUGGAGGCUUCGGUACUUUCGAAAGUGUAGGAGAUGUGCUCUCUCUCUCUCUCUCUCUCUCUCUCUCUCUCUCUCUCUCUCUCUAUAUAUAUAUAUAUAUAGUUGAGCUAGAAUACUCUCAAAAGCACCGAGAGGGUGGUGCUUUUGAGUUUUUAGCCAUUGGAUGGAGAGAUGUAAGGUUGGGAUGAUGGUGGUAGGUGGUGGUAGAUGGUGGUAGGCGGAAUAGUGUUUAAUCAAGGGCUAUUAGUAAUCAAGGAGUAGAUCUAAGGGCUAGAAACGUAGAAGCACCACGGGGUUGGUGCUUCUAAAAGUAUUCUAGCUCAAUUCAUGAUAUAUAUAUAUCAUGAAUUGAGCUAGAAUAUUCACAAAAGCACCAAGAGGGUUUGUAGCCUUUGGAUGGAGUGAUGUAAGAGUAGGAUGAUGGUGGUAGGUGGUGAUAGAUGGAAUAGUUUUGAUUUAAGGGAUAAUUGCCUAUAUACCCCUCAGGCGUUUGAAAAUAUUCGAUUUACCCCUACUUUUUUUUCUUUCGAAAAUAUCCCACAUAUGUUCCACCGUUAUUGCAAAAUACCCCCGCAGUUAUCUUCUGUUAAGUUAACUUGGAUAAAACUUGAGUUAAAUAUCUAUCACAGUUAAAAAAAAAAUUAAAAUACCAAUUUUGCCCUUAACUUAAAGGCAAAUAAGAAAUGUUGGUGACGGUAAAGGGGUAAAGUGGAAAAGACCAAAAACUUUUUGUGCCCUUGACUUUAAGGGCAAAUAAGAAAGUUAGUGAUGGUGGAACGUAGAAAGGGUAUUUUCAAUAUUAGCCUUUUAAGAGGGGUAAAUCAGAAAGUCGAAAAUUUUUCAGGAAUAUAAAAGUAAUUGCCCCUUGAUUUAAAAGCUAUUAUUAGUCAAAAAGUAGAUUUAAGGGUUGGAAACCUAGAAGCAUAAGGGGUUGGUGCUUCUAGAUGUAUUCUAGCUCAAUUCUAUAUAACUUAGCGAGUAUAGAAAGUUAUCUAAUUAUAUGAGAUGACAAAAUAAUAACAAAAUAAUAACUAGAAGAUAAAGCCAAAACAUAUUUGAAUAAUAAAAGAGAAAACAGAUUUUUUUUCAGUGGAGCAGUGAUCAAAUUCAAUGCAAAUGAAUCAUACGAAUUUUAACUAAUCGGCAGUUUUAUGAAGAGCAAUACUACUUGUACAUUAAAAAAAUAGAGUAUAAAUUUUUAAUGCAUUGGUCUAGAAGUUUAAACACCUCUCUGAAUAUUUAAUAUACUAAAACAAUAUUGAUAAGACUAGUAUAAAAAUAUUGACCUUUGGAUGUAUAAAUAUCAGAUUUAUUUGUACUGUAGAAGUGUAAAUAGCAUUAAUUGCUCUUUGAAACGUUUGAAUUAAUAUCAUAACUAAUUCAGUUACUAGCAUCACCUUGAGUUGUUAGCAAUGGAUAUGAUGUGCCAGGUUUUGAAAUUAAUAAUCAUCUUAAAGUUACCAACCAAUCCUAGCGCAAGUUGUAAAGGAUUUGACGGUUGGUAUAUGAGAUUUUAAGUUCGAAAUUUAUUUGUUUCGUAUUUUUAACUAAAUUUAUUUUUUUUAAAAAUAAGCGAAACUAGUAGCAUACUAUCUUUCUAGCUAACAAUAAUAGUUGCAUAUGACCAAUCGUCCCUAGAGCAAAUGGUAAAGGGCUUGGUGGUUGGUAUCCGAAACUCAAGUUCGAAUUCUAGUUGAUUCACAUUUUCCAGCUAAGUUUAUUUCUAAAUGAAAUAAAACGAAACAGGUCCUAUCACUCAAAAAAAAUAAUAGUUGCAUAUGGGAGACAACAUAAAAUCUUAUAAACUGUAUAUAAUAUGGUAAAUAUCUUCACCUAUCAGUUAAAGCAUUUCGGUUGGAUUCGAAUCCUUUAUCAUGCUAUCAAUGAUCCAAACCUCUUAAUUUCUUACCAGCCCCAUGACCAUGUUCCAGUACCAUGUAGCAAGCUAUCAAGAUACGAUGUUAAAAUUAAUAUUUCUUUAUUGUGUACAAAAUGGAAAUUUGAUCUGCGCAUAACGUAGAGGAUACCUCACCUUAUCAACUAACUUAAUAAUGACCAUGCUAGAUUGGUGCCACUGCAUGGUGAGGCCUCUGGCGUUCCAAGGAGGCGUUCUCGAUCUUUUAGCAAACUUAGUUAUUAUUGAUAUAAAGGUGGGGGAGAUGUAUGUAGUUUAACAAGAGCAAUGAUACCAAGAGUAAAAAAAGUAAUUUUUCACUAUCUAGGUCAGGCAGGCACGUUUCCAGGCGUAAAUUUUUGCUGUGUAGGAAGUAGGCUGUAGGCACCGUAUCAGUUAAUUAAGUGGUCCGCACAUCUAUAAUUACGUUAAUUAAUUAAAUAUAAAAUACAUAAUAAAUCAUCAUUAAAUCUGGCUUUAAUGUUACCACCUGUAUUUUAUAACGGACCCAAGUUUCAGCUGCCAAGUGUCGACACCCGGCAUCUUCCGGAGACCCGCUUGGCUUGUUUGGAUGCAUGGAUAUUUGUUUUGACACAUUUUUUAUUUACUCGGUAAAAUUAAUGCUAUAAUUAGUAGUUGCAAAAUUGGUAGUGACAAUUUUGAAAAAUAUCUAUGAUAUUUUAUAAGUUUGAAACCGCCUCUAUAUUUAAUUGAUGAUAAGACAAAUAUAUUUAUUCUUACUUAACUUAGUUUAUAAACAAUUGGAUUAUAAUUAUGUCAUUAAUAUGAAAUUAUUAUUAUGUCCUUAACAGGAAAAAUUUUAGAAUACAACGGGUAUAUUAGUGACGUGGCGUAACAAACCAAUCAAAUUAAUCCUUUUAAAAAUAUAUGACCUAUCAUGAUUGUAAAAAAGUAUUUUUAUUAUACUUUUGUUUGAAAGAAGAAAUGUGAUUGACUUGUUAUUGAUAACGUGGUGCAAGUGUGAUAGUGUAAAAUUCCUCCCUUCACAGACAGUGUUGGAGCGCUCCCUUCUACUCUAGUACAUGUUUUUCUUGUUGGUAAACUUCAAAUAGUUAUUGGCGCAUGGGGCUUAGCUCUUUUUUACUUUAUCAUUUUUUAAUGUAAAAUUUUUACUUUUUACUUUUAUGAUUUAAUUUUUAUUUGUCAAAAAAAUUAUAUGAAACAGAAUAAUAAAGUAAACUUUUUAAAAAAAUUACAAAGUGGGAAAGCAAAAAAAGGCACUAAACUAUGGGGAGACAAAUGUAACUUUAUGAACCAUUGUAUAACAAAAUGAAAAUGAGUUAAACGACAAGGGUGCAAAAUAAAAUUUUUUGAACUAUAGGAUGAUAAAAUGAGCUUAAUCACAAGUAAGCAAUUUAAAGUUUUCCUUUUUUCUAAACAAAAAGCAAAGUCUAAAUAUUUAAUGUGAGAAAAAAUUAUCAUAUUUUUGGAGGAAUGUGUCCCAUAUAAAAGUGUCAAUGAGCUGAACACAAGCGAGUUAGGACCAGCUCGUGCUCGACUCGUUUCAUAAACGAGCCGAACACAAAUAGGCAUGUUAAAGUAUUGAGCCGAAAAUUUCAGUUCGUAUUCGGCUCGUUUAUUAAUAACCUAAACACUUGGUGGCUCACGAAUAAUAAGUUAAAAGAAUUAGAAAUGAUAUAUAUAUAUAUAUAUAUAUAUAUAUAUAUAUAUAUAUAUAUAUAUAUAUUAGUUAUAUAUAGAGCCUAGGGUUACUAUCGGUAGCACGGGGGCUCACGUGCUACCAAGUUGUUUCAUUAUACGGUUUCAAAUCGACGAAUCGGCUUCGUUAGACUUGAUCUACACUAUUGAAAGUAUUUGGAACUAAAAUUUCAUAAUUUUUCGGCACCAUUUACCUAUCAAACGAGUAGUCUAAAAUGAACGGCUGAAAUAAAAAAUCUCAUAAAAAAUGUGAUAAAAGACUUAAAUUUAG